GUUAAUUAAGUCAGCUGUGAAAGUUUGUGGCUCAACCAUAAAAUUGCAGUUGAUACUGGCAUCCUUGAGUACAGUAGAGGUAGGCGGAAUUCGUGGUGUAGCGGUGAAAUGCUUAGAUAUCACGAAGAACUCCGAUUGCGAAGGCAGCCUGCUGGACUGUAACUGACGCUGAUGCUCGAAAGUGUGGGUAUCAAACAG
rnacentral:rRNA from 1 species